rnacentral:tRNA from 1 species
UGCAUCGGCCGGGAAUCAAACCCUGGCCGCCCCGUGGCAGGAGAGCAUUCUACCACUGAACCACCGAUGG